UUGUUUAGUUCGUCGUAAGCAAGUCAUUGUUGAAAUAAGUUAACCGAAAACGACGUAAUUAAAUUUUUCGAUCUAGUGAAGGAAUAUAAAAAUAUAUAUAUAUAUAUAUAUAUAUAUUAGGUAAAAGAGUUAUAUUUAAAUAUAUUUUAUUAUAAAAUUAAUUAUAUUUUUAUUCAGUUGGCAUAUUUAAAAUAUAAUAAAAAUUGAUUAGUUAAGUUUUAAUACUUUCUUUAUUCAUUUUGUACAAUUAAAAUAUGAUAAAAAAUUAAUUAAUUAAGUAUUAAUAUUUUUUUAUUUUAUAAUUUUAUUGUUGUAUUACUAUAAUUUAUGUAUAAUAAAUAAUUUAAUUAUUUUAAAUUAAAUUUUAAGUAUAUAAAAAUAUAAUUAUAUUAUUUUUUAUUUAUUAAA
rnacentral:lncRNA from 1 species